AACGAACGCUGGCGGCAUGCCUAACACAUGCAAGUCGAACGAGACCUUCGGGUCUAGUGGCGCAAGGGUGCGUAACGCGUGGGAACCUGCCCUUAGGUUCGGAAUAACUCCCCGAAAGGGGUGCUAAUACCGGAUAAUGUCUUCGGCCCAAAGAUUUAUCGCCUAGGGAUGGGCCCGCGUUGGAUUAGCUAGUUGGUAGGGUAAAAGCCUACCAAGGCGACGAUCCAUAGAUGGUCUGAGAGGAUGAUCAGCCACACUGGGACUGAGACACGGCCCAGACUCCUACGGGAGGCAGCAGUGGGGAAUAUUGGACAAUGGGCGAAAGCCUGAUCCAGCAAUGCCGCGUGAGUGAUGAAGUCCUUAGGGUUGUAAAGCUCUUUUACCCGGGAUGAUAAUGACAGUACCGGGAGAAUAAGCUCCGGCUAACUCCGUG
rnacentral:rRNA from 1 species